rnacentral:rRNA from 1 species
AGUGAACGCUGGCGGUAGGCCUAACACAUGCAAGUCGAACGGCAGCACAGUAAGAGCUUGCUCUUACGGGUGGCGAGUGGCGGACGGGUGAGGAAUACAUCGGAAUCUACUUUUUCGUGGGGGAUAACGUAGGGAAACUUACGCUAAUACCGCAUACGACCUACGGGUGAAAGCAGGGGAUCUUCGGACCUUGCGCGAUUGAAUGAGCCGAUGUCGGAUUAGCUAGUUGGCGGGGUAAAGGCCCACCACGGCGACGAUCCGUAGCUGGUCUGAGAGGAUGAUCAGCCAGACUGGAACUGAGAAACGGCCCACACUCCUACGGGAGGCAGCAGUGGGGAAUAUUAGACAAUGGGCGCAAGCCUGAUCCAGCCAUACCGCGUGGGUGAAGAAGGCCUUCGGGUUGGAAAGCCCUUUUGUUGGGAAAGAAAAGCAGCAGGUUAAUACCCCGCUGUUCUGACGGUACCAAAAGAAUAAGCACCGGCUAACUUCGUG